rnacentral:rRNA from 1 species
CCUACGGGUGGCAGCAGUGAGGAAUAUUGGUCAAUGGGCGCGAGCCUGAACCAGCCAAGUAGCGUGAAGGAUGACUGCCCUACGGGUUGUAAACUUCUUUUAUAAAGGAAUAAAGUUAGGCACGUGUGCCUUCUUGUAUGUACCUUAUGAAUAAGGAUCGGCUAACUCCGUGCCAGCAGCCGCGGUAAUACGGAGGAUCCGAGCGUUAUCCGGAUUUAUUGGGUUUAAAGGGAGCGUAGGUGGGUUGUUAAGUCAGUUGUGAAAGUUUGCGGCUCAACCGUAAAAUUGCAGUUGAUACUGGCAGCCUUGAGUACAGUAGAGGUAGGCGGAAUGCGUGGUGUAGCGGUGAAAUGCUUAGAUAUCACGAAGAACUCCGAUUGCGAAGGCAGCUUACUAAACUGCCACUGACAUUGAUGCUCGAAAGUGUGGGUAUCAAACAGGAUUAGAUACCCUUGUAGUC